UAGUGCUGGGCACUGCCGCAUAUGCGACAGGUGUUGCUGAGGCGGUAGCAGGGUCGGUCCCCGUGAUCCCUGCUACAGUGCUGGCAGAUCUUCCCACGUGCUGCCCCCGUAGCCUGAGGAGGGGCCUGGAUGGCGGGUCUGGGCCUCUUACUGGGUUGGACAGGCGCGGUAGGUGCUGGCCUGCGGAGCGGGACUGAGGGUCGGGAACACCCCGCUAGCUGAGGGUGGGUGUCGAAGCUCCUUUCUAUGAUAUGCGCCUUUGCUAGGACUGCUGAAUAUGUCUCGAGCUCCAUUACCAGUAAAUGCUGUCUGAUCUACGGGCGGAGACCCCACUGGAAUUUUCUGGCCUUUCGGCCCUCAUCCAUCAAUGUCUCCGGGGCAUAUCGGCCCAGCUCCAGGAACUUACGGGCAUACUCCGACAUUGUCAUGUUUCCCUGGACCAAUUGAGCAAACUCCAUUUUCUUUAGGUGUUGGAUGUGUUUAGGGAGAUACUCCGCGUGGAAGGCCGCUAAGAACUGCUCCCAAGUAGCUGGUGUGGGCAGGGUGGUCCGCUUGAGCUCCCACCAGCGUACUGCUUCCCCUACCAGCAUGUAGGAGGCAAUGGCAACCCUCUGCUCAAGAACUACUCCCAAGGUCUCGAAAGCUCUCUCGGUUUCUGCCAGCCAGUAUUGGGCCUCUUGAAAAGAGGAUCCCCCUGCAAAAGUAGAAGGGUUCAGUCUUCUGUACCUCUCUAUGAAGCCGGAGUCGAUCAAGGAAGGAGCAGGGUCCCGAGGUAGAGGGACUGGGGCCGGUUGAGGGUGAACUGGGGGACCCUGUGGUGGCACCUGCUAAUGUGGUGGGGGUACUGGAAUGUGCUGUGGCGGUGCCUGGUGGUACCGUGGCUGUGGUACCGGGUCGUACCGCGGCUGUGGUGCCGGGUGGUACUGUGGAGGAGCAGGCUCCUGCCGGGGUGGCUCGGGAUCAGCCUACUGUAGCGGGGGCUCAACCUGCGAUAGCGGAGGAGGUCCGGGUAAC
rnacentral:lncRNA from 1 species